CCAGGGGCCGGUUGCACCAACUGGGCGUAAGCCUGGUCGUAACUACGCCUGGUCGUAACUUGGCGUUCUAAGUCCAACCUAACCGUUACGCCGGUUGCACCAACUGGGCUUAGCGUUCUUUUCACUAAGACCAAGGCGUAAAUCCUACGCCUGGUCAGGGGGAGGCGUAGGCUGUGUCCCAAUUCAGGGGACGCAUCCUUCGAAGGCUGCAUUCGAAGGAUGCGUCGACGCCGAUUGCGUCACAGCGACGCGCCAAGUGCUGUCCCAAUUCCAAGGGUCCUUCAAAUGCGGCCUACGAAUGCAGCCUUCUUUUCCCGGAUUUUAAGGAUGCAUCGGCUGUAUCCUUCGCGGCCCAACGUAUCCCAAGAUCCUUCACGGCCCAACGUAUCCCUCCCAAGAUUCAUUGCGCAGUCAAUCCAAAAAAUAAAACAAUAAUGGCGGAGAAUGUGGAUUUGACUUUUUCAUUUAAAUGGAGCAAGGAGCAUACUGCUCAAUUGAUCAAACUCAGGGGGGAGAACGACGAGCUCUUCACCGGGGUGAAACAUUCGGCGAGUGUGGCUUGGGGGAUUGCAACAGUGGUGGAUCAGGAGGUGGAGGACAAGGAUCAGGAGGAGGAAAGACAGCGAGGGCCAAGGUCCAGAAAGAGGGACAGAGAGGAAGACAUGUUCCAGAGUCGCUCACUAUCUUCCGAAAAGGACUCAAGAUUCACCUGUUCAGAGUCCACCUCGACUGCAUAGCCACCCUCCCCCUUCUGGCCACCAUUGUACACUGUGUUGUAUUGUAUUAUAGUACUUAACUGUGUAGCAACUGCAGUAGCUGCUAUCAUGGCUGUAACACGGGGAAUGGGUUAGCCUAGCGAUUGUGGUACUUGCACUUGGUUCUAUGAACAUCCUUUCUGUACCGACAGCGAUAUAUUGAUGCACUUCUUGUGACAAAUGUACUUAUUGUAAGUCGCUUUGGAUAAAAGCGUCUGCUAAAUGCCCUAAAUGUAAAUGUAAGAUGUAAAUGUUCCAGUUAAUAAAAGAGGACAUGAGGCUACAAAGGGGAGGCAGAGGAGAGGAAAGCCCAGGAAAGCAGGGAAAGAAUGGAUAGGUUUUUCUCAAUUUUGGAGCGUUUGGUGGACAAAUAACUUAUGGUCUGUUAUAUUUAACGCAUUGUUUAUUAUUUACAUAUUUAUUGAAACUAACUUAUUUAACUAACUAUUUAACUAACUUUUUUGAUUAACUAUUUAUUAAAACCCUUACUAACUUUUUUGUAUUGACUAAUGUAUUCGUAUGAAACAUAUAUACAACAAUAAAACUAUUUGC
ensembl:lncRNA